GCCAGCCCGCUCAGAAACUCAAAGGAAUUGACGGGGCCCGCACAAGCGGAGGAGCAUGUGGUUAAUUCGAUGAUACGCGAGGAACCUUACCUGGGCUCGAACGUAAGAUGACUGUAGGUGAAAGCUUACAUCUCUUCGGAGCAUUUUACGAGGUGCUGCAUGGUUGUCGUCAGCUCGUGCCGUGAGGUGUCGGGUUAAGUCCCAUAACGAGCGCAACCCCUACCUUUAGUUGCCAUCAGGUUAAGCUGGGGACUCUAAAGGAACUGCCUACGCAAGUAGUGAGGAAGGCGGGGAUGACGUCAAAUCAGCACGGCCCUUACGUCCAGGGCUACACACGUGCUACAAUGGCCGAUACAGAGGGCAGCUACCUGGUGACAGGAUGCAAAUCUCCAAAGUCGGUCUCAGUUCGGAUCGGAGUCUGCAACCCGACUCCGUGAAGUUGGAUUCGCUAGUAAUCGCGCAUCAGCCAUGGCGCGGUGAAUACGUUCCCGGGCCUU
rnacentral:rRNA from 1 species